CCAAAAAUAGAAAGAAAAUAGGGUAUUCUUUUUGAUAGAUUUUUCAGUGAAAUUGACAGUCGGUGGCCAUGCAUGAAGGCAUGGAAAGAAGGGAAAAAAGAGGAAGAAGGGUUGGGCUUACCUCGGGCUCUGGUGACGUCUCUAGAAAUGGUUUUAGGUGGGCAUAAUGAGGGUAGUCUAUGAUUUCAAAGGAAGAAAAGAGGGAGAAAGAAGAGAGGAGAGGGCCGGGCUCCUUGUGGAUGGC
rnacentral:lncRNA from 1 species